AAAAAGACAAACCCUGGUUUCCGUGCCCAACGUUUGACCGUCUGUCUUAUUUCAAAUAAUUAUGAAAAAAUUAAAAGACAAGUCACACAUAAAAUAUUAAUCAUGUUUUAUCAUCUAACAACAAUGAAAAUAUGAAUUACAAAAAAAUUUCAUAUAAGACGGACAGUCAAAGUUGGACACGGAAACCCAGGGUUUGUCUUUUU
rnacentral:pre_miRNA from 1 species